rnacentral:rRNA from 1 species
AACGAACGCUGGCGGUGUGCUUAACACAUGCAAGUCGAACGAGAAAGUUUCCUUCGGGAAGCGAGUAAAGUGGCGCAAGGGUGAGUAACACGUGAAUAAUCUACCCUCGAGACUGGGAGUAACCUGGUGAAACUAAGGCUAAUACCGGAUAAGACCACGUCCCGCAAGGAGUGCGGGAAAGGAGGCUCAACCUCCACUUGUGGAUGAGUUCGCGGACCAUUAGCUUGUUGGUGAGAUAACAGCUCACCAAGGCUACGAUGGUUAGCCGGCCUGAGAGGGCGAUCGGCCACACUGGAACUGAGACACGGUCCAGACUCCUACGGGAGGCAGCAGUGGGGGAAUAUUGCGCAAUGGGCGAAAGCCUGACGCAGCAAUGCCGCGUGAGGGAUG